rnacentral:tRNA from 1 species
GUGACUGUGGCCAAGCGGUUAAGGCAUCGGAUUGUGAUCCCGACAUCAUGGGUUCGAUUCCCAUCAGUCACC